UACGUAGGGUGCAAGCGUUAAUCGGAAUUACUGGGCGUAAAGCGUGCGCAGGCGGUGAUGUAAGACAGUUGUGAAAUCCCCGGGCUCAACCUGGGAACUGCAUCUGUGACUGCAUUGCUGGAGUGCGGCAGAGGGGGAUGGAAUUCCGCGUGUAGCAGUGAAAUGCGUAGAUAUGCGGAGGAACACCGAUGGCGAAGGCAAUCCCCCUGGGCCUGCACUAACGCUCAUGCACGAAAGGCGUGGGGAGCGAACAGG
rnacentral:rRNA from 1 species